rnacentral:rRNA from 1 species
UGUUGAACUUGAGUGCAGAAGAGGAGAGUGGAACUCCAUGUGUAGCGGUGGAAUGCGUAGAUAUAUGGAAGAACACCAGUGGCGAAGGCGGCUCUCUGGUCUGCAACUGACGCUGAGGCUCGAAAGCAUGGGUAGCGAACAGGAUUAGAUACCCUGGUAGUCCAUGCCGUAAACGAUGAGUGCUAAGUGUUGGGAGGUUUCCGCCUC